UACGUAGGGCGCAAGCGUUUGUCCGGAAUUAUUGGGCGUAAAGAGCUCGUAGGCGGCCUGUCGCGUCUGCUGUGAAAUCCCGGGGCUUAACCCCGGGCGUGCAGUGGAUACGGGCUGGCUGGAGGCAGGCAGGGGAGAACGGAAUUCCUGGUGUAGCGGUGAAAUGCGCAGAUAUCAGGAGGAACACCGGUGGCGAAGGCGGUUCUCUGGGCAUGUCCUGACGCUGAGGAGCGAAAGUGUGGGGAGCGAACAGG
rnacentral:rRNA from 1 species